ensembl:lincRNA
GCUCAAGGGAUCCUCCUGCCUCAGCCUCCCAAAGUGUUGGGAUUAUACUUUGUAAACCCAAAGUGUGAGCCAUCACGUCCAGCCAAAAAGUAUUCAGUAUUUUGAGAGUAUAAGUUGGAUAUGUGAUGUGAGAGAAAGAGAGGAAUCAGGGAUGACUUUGAGAUUUCUGGCUUAAGCAACUGGCAAGUAGGAGUUUUUAAUCAACUGAGGUGGGGAAGACUGUGGGUAGACUAAGUUUUGGGUGACAAGAGCAGGAUUCAGUCAGGGGAACCGAAGGGCAGGCUCUCUGUACCAGCACUCAGUAUGCAGUUUCAUAUCAAGUCAAAGGCUGUCUGAGGCCAACACUGGUCUUUGAGAGUGGGAAGUCCAAGCAAGCAGAAGAUGACAAGUAGGUGUCACUGGCUCUAAUGGAAGAUGGGCAAGAGAAGACCUCUACAUUCUAGAAAGUGAACUUGCUAUGUGGUUUGCCUGGCAACGGACAAGGUGAGGUAAAUAAUGCCACAGAAGUUCCAGGAUGAAGGAUUACAAGAGGUUUGUAAGAAAACUCAAGGGGUACGGUGGUUCAGAAAUGGACAUAACAGCCUAGAGGAAGACCUGGGAGAAGCCCUUGAAUAACCAUUGGUCCAUUGUGCAUCUAGGGUCCUUAACAAAAAGAUAAAAGACAAGUGUAUAAUAUGUUGGAAAAAAAUUUCCCAUUCCCACACAGGCUUGUCAUAUACCAGGAGGUAUCAACAAUCACCAAGCUCUCAUGCAUUAACUACCUGUUUCACCUCCAUUGAGGGAUAUGUCUCAUGUCAAUAAUUGGAUCUAUGAAACCUGGCUGUGAUAAAUACCAAGGAAUUCUAUGCCAGUUCACAGCAGUAAGAGUGCAGAAGUGCCAGGCUGAAGAGGCCAUGUCCAUCUGCUUAUUGCAAUUUCUUCCUGAAGAUUGUUUUUGGGUGCUUUAUCAAUUGUCCACAUUGUUCUGGGAGUAUCUUUGCCCUGAGUGAAGCCUGUCUGCUCCAGUCUAGUCUGGGUGAUUCAGAUAUGAGGACACUGGGAGUCAUGUUGGCUGGUUCCGUUUCUGCACCACCUUCAUGAGUUACUUGGGUGAGUCAGUUUUGAGUUCAGUCUUCUGAUCUAUUAGAUGAUUGGGUUGGAUCAAAUGAUGUCUCAGGUUCCUUCCAACUUGAUUACCUUUGGAUCAAAAGAGCUUUUUGAGUUACUUGGUAUAUUCUCAAUAACUGUUCACUUAUUUGUUAUACAGAAAGUUCUAGGAAAAGAUCUAGGACCAUCCCUAUUCUUUAAAACCUGAUAUGUUCAAAAACUGGUGAUGAACUACAUGUUCAUCACCAUGAUAAUUCCUACAU